CUUUGGCAGUCCUCAAUGCACUAGCAUGCACUAAAACCAAAACACACAAGGAGAUUCAGCACUGUUAAGAAGAGAAAUCCAAGUUGACUUGGCAUGAAGCAGGAGGCUGAUUGAGAGCUUUGAAACCUCUUUAAACUUGGACAUUUCAAGAAUCCUGGAAGAGCACUAUUGUGAAAAAAACUAGGAGACCUGCCAGGAAUGAGUGUUUGGUUUCUGCUCUGGAGGUGCUUGAGAAGGGCAAUAGAUCUUAUCUCCAAGUCUUAUUUUCUAAAGAGGUUCCAAGCCAUCGAUACGCAUGAUCUUCAGCAUCCCAGCAGCCAUUUCCUGCUGACCGCUGAGCAGGAAGAGCACAUGACCCUGGCUGGAGCCGCCAAGAGGGUGGAGAUGAUCAGAAAUCCUUUCACUGUCAAAUUCAGAGAAGAAACAUGCUGAGAAGAGGCACUUCCUAUGCCAGGCCUACCUGUGCCGUGAGGAAUACAUGUAGGAGACACUAUUUGAAAAGGUCGCCACCUUGCUGGAACAACCAAUGCAGAGAUAAUGCUGGGCCCUCUAAUCAGUUGAACAGUGGCUUCAAAAAGAUAGGUCAAAGUUAUAAUCUCCUGCAGCUGUGCAUGUGACUUUCUUUGGAAAUAGGAUCUUGCAGCUUUCCCAGAGCCACACAAUAUUCUUGGGAUGCUGAGAAACCUGGAGAGCUAAACUCACAACGGACCACUCUCAGCUUAUAUACCUAUUCUCACUGUGCAUACCUAUAAUUAAGAGCAUUUAUUUAGUACUUCCUAUGUGUCUAGCAUUACUACCCUUUGAAAGGGGUAGUUAUUAAUCCUUAUAAUAUCCCAAUAGUUUCUUUCACUAAUCACAUUUGAUAGUUGAGGAAGCAAGGCACAAAGAUUUUAAGUAACUUACCUACAGUCUCAACACUUGCAAGUCACAAAGGUAUGCAUAAUAAUUCCACCCCAGGCACUGUGACUCCACAACUAUUACACUACGCUUCCUCCAACUAAUAGGAACUUAGGUACAAAGACAAAUUCAGCCCACACAGUACUAUCUAUGAAUCCGGCUCUUGCUGUGCUGUUCACUAAUACUCCACUUCUGCCUUCUAGACUCUAAUGAAAAUUCUAGCCCUGCCCUUAUUCUGUGGAACAGCCCAUACCACUGGUACUCAAAUGGAGCACUCUUACUUCCUUUCAUGCCAUGAAAGAGCAAGAGCUUUAGACCUUUUGUCAUCGUCACAGGGGCACCUCGGGUCAGGAUUUAGAGAAUUCUGAAUUUUGAUGCAUUUUUUUUUUGUAGGAUAUUUUAUUGCUGGCAAACUGGUUAAUAAGUUGGGCUUGUAGCGCCAUCCUAAAAAUUCGCUAGAUAAUUAAAGAAUUGAUGGAACACAGACUCCCG
rnacentral:lncRNA from 1 species